AUUGAACGCUGGCGGCAUGCCUUACACAUGCAAGUCGAACGGUAACGGGCCUUCGGGUGCCGACGAGUGGCGAACGGGUGAGUAAUACAUCGGAACGUGCCCGAUCGUGGGGGAUAACGAGGCGAAAGCUUUGCUAAUACCGCAUACGAUCUACGGAUGAAAGCAGGGGACCGCAAGGCCUUGCGCGGACGGAGCGGCCGAUGGCAGAUUAGGUAGUUGGUGGGAUAAAAGCUUACCAAGCCGACGAUCUGUAGCUGGUCUGAGAGGAUGAUCAGCCACACUGGGACUGAGACACGGCCCAGACUCCCACGGGAGGCAGCAGUGGGGAAUUUUGGACAAAGGGCGCAAGCCUGAUCCAGCCAUGCCGCGUGCAGGAUGAAGGCCUUCGGGUUGUAAACUGCUUUUGUACGGAACGAAAAGCCUUCUUUUAAUACAGGAGGGUCAUGACGGUACCGUAAGAAUAAGCACCGGCUAACUACGUG
rnacentral:rRNA from 1 species